UACGAAGGGGGCGAGCGUUGUUCGGAUUUACUGGGCGUAAAGGGCGCGCAGGCGGCUAUUUUUGUCAGGCGUGAAAGCCCCGGGCUUAACCUGGGAACUGCGCUUGAGACGGGAUGGCUAGAGAUCGGGAGAGGAGAGUGGAAUUCCCAGUGUAGAGGUGAAAUUCGUAGAUAUUGGGAAGAACACCGGUGGCGAAAGCGGCGCGCUGGACCACAACUGACGCUGAGGAACGAAAGCUAGGGGAGCAAACAGG
rnacentral:rRNA from 1 species